AGUGCCUGUACCCUCAUUGUACCUAGGUAGUAACUCACUUGCUUUUGAUUUUAUAGACUCAUAAGUGGAAGGGAAUUGCCUUAUCUGAGAUGAGACUUUGAAGUAGGACUUUUGAGUUAAUGCUGGAAUGAGUUAAGACUUUGAGAUACAGAUGAGAA